rnacentral:rRNA from 1 species
GACAGAGGGUGCAAACGUUGUUCGGAAUUACUGGGCGUAAAGCGUGUGUAGGCGGCCUUAUAAGUCGGAUGUGAAAGCCCCUGGCUCAACUGGGGAAGUGCACCCGAAACUGAGUGGCUUGAGUGCGAAAGAGGGUCGCGGAAUUCCUGGUGUAGAGGUGAAAUUCGUAGAUAUCGGGAGGAACACCGGUGGCGAAGGCGGCGACCUGGGUCGACACUGACGCUGAGGCGCGAAAGCGUGGGGAGCAAACAGG